UUUAGGACUGAAUUGGCAAACUUAAAAGGUUUAGGACCGAAUUGGCAAAAGUGCAAUAGGUUUAUGACUUUUUUGACAAUUUUCCCGUACAAUAAGUUAAGGACUUUUUUGAUAAUUUUUCUCUCUAUCGAAUUUGAGCUGCCCAUUAUGACCAAAAAAAAGAAUUGAGCUGCUCUUGAACCGGGGAGUUUAUUUCUUGGGUCUGGUUCUAUCCUAUUUCUAUUUUUAUUUUAUAAGCCAUUGUGUGUGUUAUGUGCUGUGCUCACAUUUCGAAACUCUGCUUCCUUACUCACGCGGCCUCCACCCCAGCCCCCUAAAAGGUGGGGAAUUGAACUUGGUAGAGGGAGUCAGCAUCGUGAGGGUUUGCAAGUGAGGCUGUCUGUGGUCGGGGCGGCGAUGCCAUGUUGCUCUAAGCGCAACGUCAACGUCGUGAAGCUACAAUUUCUUUGUAUUGUACCAAAAAUCUCUUUCCACUAGUUAAUAAUUUAGUUAAGUCGACGCAAGGUCUCCGUCUUCGUCUUCCGGAGAGGGGAGCCUCGACUCAUAAGUAAAGAAGUCCUCCAAGGCGAAACCCCCAAAGCCACCAAAGCCGCUAUAAUUAACCCAAAAACCUCUCACCGUAAGCAUCAAGCCGUAGAGCACUACACUUUUGACACUAGAGAGUACCUCAUAGCUUAUCAUAUCCGUAGGCAUAUUGAUAUUGAUCAGAAUCAAUGUGGGCGGGAGCAAGAGCAAAGAUAAGAGAGGAAAAGGGUGAGACCAAGGAGUCAAGUGGCACUGCCAUGGCCGAGGAAGCGAUCGCCGGUUUGGCGAUCUGAGCUGUGCGUGCUGGCGUGGCCAGUCUGAUGGGUGACUCGUUCAAGUCCAGUGGAAGGAAGACCAUAAAAGCUCCCAGGAGGGGCAAGCGCAUCUUCCGGGACGAGUUCGCCAGGGACCCUGCUGCCUACUUUCGCGACCUGCGGAAGUAGUUGCUACUUGCUAGCCACCAAGUAAAAGGAGAAAUUUGUGUUGUUGCUUGCGGUCUAAUGUCUCUCUUUUGGUUUAGCAUGGCGUCUUUACCUUUACGGUCCGUGUAUUUAUAUGGUACAUUUUGUACUCUAUUCUCGUGCUUAAUGCUGGUAUGUUUACAUAGUAGUUUUUCAUUGUAGACAGUAGUCAUCGGCUGCACCAUGUACCUCAACCCACAGGCUGUAUCGCUUUUCCUCGACGACAUUGACCAUGACUUGCAAAGACCUGCAAAGUGUGCCUUUGGAGGUACAGCCAUUUGCCAUCCCCCAAUACUGCUGCUUGCAUUUGACCAGUGCUUUGAAGCGUGGAAGGUGGUCAGUCGAAAAAUUCCAUUGCCAGUUCUACAUGGUCCUGGUGAUUUGGCUGAACAACCAUUGCAGGAGUUGGAGAUGGUGACUGGCAUGGACCCAUUGACUAGACAAAGUACCUAUAUAUAUUCACUCAUAACGUAGUUUGUAAGCAUAGAUGGAAUGGACCCAAUGACCUACUCACGAUCACGGCAAACAAGAGAUAAAAGCAAGAACAAAAACAAGAGAGGGGAAAGAGAGAAAGAAGCCUCAGUAAAAUGAAUUGGUUAUUUAUAUAUCACUAAAAUCGAGAAGAAUUGGAGGAUGACAUUUCUACUUGCCCUUGGUCUCCAUCUAUCUUAUUCUCUUAUGUGCUGGCAACUUGAAUUUUCUCACAACGUAUCCGGAGACGUUAUAGAAUCAUAAGCAGUUGAUGGAUCCCACCCUGGGGGCUUGAUGUUUGGCCAAUCUCCACGGCAUCCCAACCUUAUGUACAGGCUCUUCUUAUCUGCAAGGACGAGACAGAACCGAUGAGAUUUACGGUUCAAUCAGAGCUUUUUACUGCACAGAGAACAAAUUCCAAGGUUGUUUUCAUUACAGCAUCAACUUCCUCUGGCAUUACGAUAGGUUCCCCUAUUUCAUAGCAUUUUCAAUACACAGGUCAUGUGUAGUUUGACGAACUUUUACCUGGGAGCUUCCUAUCUGAUAAAACUAAUCGUUUGAGUGCACUCAGAGAUGCUUGAGCCACGGUUUUGGAGUAAUCGGCAUCCCAACCUUGGACCUUGACAACAACAUCUGCAUUUGCAUAACCUAGACUCCCAUCUUCAAUGUGUCUUCUGGCCUCUUUCUGAGCCGAGUCUUCGUCUGCAAAAAAAAUUACAACUUACUUCAGAUGAAAUCAUCACAAGGGUCCGUAAUACUGCAACUAAAUGGAAAGGUGGCCAUCAUUUAGCCUCCAACCCUGUUUCAGGUUCAGUCAAACUUCCAGCAGAAUUGAAAUGAUUUUGCAUGACAUCAUUUGAACCAUUUGGAAAAUGCACAAUAACAACCUCCUUUUCCACUUUGAACUUCAGCAAGGAUAGAUAUUAUAUCAGUUGGCGAACCAAGUAAUUUCAGCAGCAUCGAAGGUCCUUACAAGCCACUAAAUUUGAUUAUCAUUCUGUCUCUACCACUCAAAGAUCAUCAGGAAAACUGAUUCAAUGGCAAAAUGCAUGGGGGAGGCACGCAUCAGUAGACUACCUGUUGCUUCAGUUGUAGACAACCAUACAGUAAAUCCUGCGUAAAGGUGCUGCCAUUUAUCAGCUCUUCGAGCAGCACCCUGCUGCCCUCCUAAAGUUGCGACAACAGCCCGGACGUGACUUUGCAAAACAAAUCAAAGAGAGAAAAGAGAAAAGAAUGAGUCAUUUGUGAAGGCAAGAGUUUCAAACAACUGCAUCACAUAAUGCGUAUACCUACUGAGGCUUUCUAAUAAGACACCCUCUGCUUCAGCAAUGGCAUCAUAUCCUUCAGCAAGCGCCCCUGGAGAUGAUUAGACUCAUUAAUGCACUGCAAGAUGGGCACUGCAGGUCAUUUCAAGAUUGCCAAAGCGAAAGUUGCUAUAUCUACUUAUACAUGUUUUUUUCAAAUAUGAGAAUUUUCUAAUCCAUUUUCCUUUGUAGUUUCUUCUAAUUUUAUUUCAGAAUAUGUACAGAGAUACAAAUAACAUUCCGAAUGCCAUCUUCAGCGUGGAUUGGCAGUAUGCUGAACUCAACACUAUCAAUUGCUGCUUUAAAACAUCACCAGAUUAUGUUAAUAAGUAAAUUGCUCA